GAUGAACGCUGGCGGCGUGCCUAAUACAUGCAAGUCGAGCGGACAGACGAGGAGCUUGCUCCGCUGACGUUAGCGGCGGGGGGGUGAGAAACACGUGGAUAACCUACCUAUAAGAGUGGGAUAACUUCGGGAAACCGGAGCAAAUACCGGAUAAUAUACUGAACCACAUGGUUGAAUAGUAAAAGACGGUGUUUGUGGAACUUAUAGAUGGUUAUGGGCCGGAUUAGCUAGUUGGUAAGGUAACGGCUUAUCAAGGCAACGAUGCGUAGCCGACCUGAGAGGGUGGUCGCCCGCACUGGAGCUGAACCGCGGUCCAGACUCCUACGAUACGCAGCAGAAGGCUAUCUUCCGCAGUGGGCGAGAGCCUGACGGAGUAGCGCCACGUCAGUGAUAGAGAUCUCCGGUGCGUAAAGCUCUGUUAUUAGUGGUGAACAACUGUGUCAGUAACUGUACACGUCUUGACGGUACUUAAUCAGAAAGCCACGGCUAACUACGUG
rnacentral:rRNA from 1 species